rnacentral:rRNA from 1 species
UUGAACGCUGGCGGAACGCUUUACACAUGCAAGUCGAACGGUAACGCGGGGAGAAGCUUGCUUCUCUCCGGCGACGAGUGGCGAACGGGUGAGUAAUACAUCGGAACGUGUCCGCUCGUGGGGGACAACCAGCCGAAAGGUUGGCUAAUACCGCAUGAGUUCUACGGAAGAAAGAGGGGGACCCGCAAGGGCCUCUCGCGAGCGGAGCGGCCGAUGACUGAUUAGCCGGUUGGUGAGGUAACGGCUCACCAAAGCAACGAUCAGUAGCUGGUCUGAGAGGACGACCAGUCACACUGGGACUGAGACACGGCCCAGACUCCUACGGGAGGCAGCAGUGGGGAAUUUUGGACAAUGGGCGCAAGCCUGAUCCAGCUAUUCCGCGUGUGGGAUGAAGGCCCUCGGGUUGUAAACCACUUUUGUAGAGAACGAAAAGACACCUUUUAAAAAAGGGUGCUGCUGACGGUACUCUAAGAAUAAGCACCGGCUAACUACGUGCCAGCAGCCGCGGUAAUACGUAGGGUGCGAGCGUUAAUCGGAAUUACUGGGCGUAAAGGGUGCGCAGGCGGUUGAGUAAGACAGAUGUGAAAUUCCCGAGCUUAACUCGGGAAUGGCAUAUGUGACUGCUCGACUAGAGUGUGUCAGAGGGAGGUGGAAUUCCACGUGUAGCAGUGAAAUGCGUAGAUAUGUGGAAGAACACCGAUGGCGAAGGCAGCCUCCUGGGAC